UACGUAGGUGGCGAGCGUUACUCGGAAUUACUAGGCGUAAAGCGCGUGUAGGCGGGAGCCUAAGUCUGCGGUUAAAUUUCACAGCCUAACUGUGAACUGUCCGCGGAAACUGGGUUUCUUGAGUGAGGUAGAGGGAACCGGAAUUCCAGGUGUAGCGGUAAAAUGCGUAGAUAUCUGGAAGAACGCCCAAGGCGAAGGCAGGUUCCUGGGCCUUUACUGACGCUGAGACGCGAAAGCUAGGGGAGCAAACAGGAUUAGAUACCCCGGUAGUCC
rnacentral:rRNA from 1 species